GACGAACGCUGGCGGCGUGCCUAAUACAUGCAAGUUGAGCGCUGAAGGUUGGUACUUGUACCAACUGGAUGAGCAGCGAACGGGUGAGUAACGCGUGGGGAAUCUGCCUUCGGGCGGGGGACAACAUUUGGAAACGAAUGCUAAUACCGCAUAAAAACUUUAAACACAAGUUUUAAGUUUGAAAGAUGCAAUUGCAUCACUCAAAGAUGAUCCCGCGUUGUAUUAGCUAGUUGGUGAGGUAAAGGCUCACCAAGGCGAUGAUACAUAGCCGACCUGAGAGGGUGAUCGGCCACAUUGGGACUGAGACACGGCCCAAACUCCUACGGGAGGCAGCAGUAGGGAAUCUUCGGCAAUGGACGAAAGUCUGACCGAGCAACGCCGCGUGAGUGAAGAAGGUUUUCGGAUCGUAAAACUCUGUUGGUAGAGAAGAACGUUGGUGAGAGUGGAAAGCUCAUCAAGUGACGGUAACUACCCAGAAAGGGACGGCUAACUACGUG
rnacentral:rRNA from 1 species